GAUGAAGAACGUAGCGAAAUGCGAUAAGUAGUGUGAAUUGCAGAAUUCAGUGAAUCAUCGAAUCUUUGAACGCACAUUGCGCCCCUUGGUAUUCCAUGGGGCAUGCCUGUUCGAGCGUCAUUUGUACCUUCAAGCUCUGCUUGGUGUUGGGUGUUUGUCUCGCCUCUGCGUGUAGACUCGCCUCAAAACAAUUGGCAGCCGGCGUAUUGAUUUCGGAGCGCAGUACAUCUCGCGCUUUGCACUCAUAACGACGACGUCCAAAAGUACAUUUUUACACUCUUGACCUCGGAUCAGGUAGGGAUACCCGCUGAACUUAAGCAUAUCAAUAUGCGGAGGA
rnacentral:misc_RNA from 1 species